rnacentral:rRNA from 1 species
UACGUAGGGCGCAAGCGUUGUCCGGAAUUAUUGGGCGUAGAGAGCUCGUAGGCGGCCUGUCGCGUCCGCUGUGAAAUCCCGGGGCUUAACCCCGGGCGUGCAGUGGAUACGGGCUGGCUAGAGGCAGGCAGGGGAGAACGGAAUUCCCGGUGUAGCGGUGAAAUGCGCAGAUAUCGGGAGGAACACCGGUGGCGAAGGCGGUUCUCUGGACAUUUCCUGACGCUGAGGCACGAAAGCCAGGGGAGCAAACGGG